rnacentral:rRNA from 1 species
AUUGAACGCUGGCGGCAGGCCUAACACAUGCAAGUCGAGCGGAUGAAGGGAGCUUGCUCCUGGAUUCAGCGGCGGACGGGUGAGUAAUGCCUAGGAAUCUGCCUGGUAGUGGGGGAUAACGUCCGGAAACGGGCGCUAAUACCGCAUACGUCCUGAGGGAGAAAGUGGGGGAGCUUCGGACCUCACGCUAUCAGAUGAGCCUAGGUCGGAGUAGCUAGUUGGUGGGGUAAAGGCCUACCAAGGCGACGAUCCGUAACUGGUCUGAGAGGAUGAGCAGUCACACCUGAACCUGGACACGGUCCCGACUCCUUCGGGAGGGCGCAGGGGGGAAUAGUUGGCAAUGGGGGGAAGCCUUGUCCAGGCCUCCCGCGUGUGUGAAAGAAGCCUUCGGGUUGUAAAGGCCUUUUGUGUGGGGAGAAAAGCAGCAAGUUUAUACCCUGCUGUUUUGACGGUACCCAAAAAAUAAGCACCGGCCAACUUCGUG